rnacentral:miRNA from 2 species
AAUCACUAACCUCACUACCAGG